rnacentral:rRNA from 1 species
AAUAGAUACCCGGGUAGUCCACGCCGUAAACGAUGAGUGCUAAGUGUUAGAGGGUUUCCGCCCUUUAGUGGCUGCAGCUAACGCAUUAAGCACUCCGCCUGGGGAGUACGGCCGCAAGGCUGAAACUCAAAGGAAUUGACGGGGGCCCGCACAAGCGGUGGAGCAUGUGGUUUAAUUCGAAGCAACGCGAAGAACCUUACCAGGUCUUGACAUCCUCUGCCAACCCUAGAGAUAGGGCGUUCCCCUUCGGGGGACAGAGUGACAGGUGGUGCAUGGUUGUCGUCAGCUCGUGUCGUGAGAUGUUGGGUUAAGUCCCGCAACGAGCGCAACCCUUGAUCUUAGUCGCCAGCAUUCAGUUGGGCACUCUAAGGUGACUGCCGGUGACAAACCGGAGGAAGGUGGGGAUGACGUCAAAUCAUCAUGCCCCUUAUGACCUGGGCUACACACGUGCUACAAUGGAUGGUACAAGAGCUGCGAACCCGCGAGGGUAAGCCAAUCUCAUAAAGCCAUUCUCAGUUCGGA